rnacentral:rRNA from 1 species
GACGAACGCUGGCGGCGUGCUUAACACAUGCAAGUCGAACGGAAAGGCCCUGCUUUUGUGGGGUGCUCGAGUGGCGAACGGGUGAGUAACACGUGAGUAACCUGCCCUUGACUUUGGGAUAACUUCAGGAAACUGGGGCUAAUACCGGAUAGGAGCUCCUGCUGCAUGGUGGGGGUUGGAAAGUUUCGGCGGUUGGGGAUGGACUCGCGGCUUAUCAGCUUGUUGGUGGGGUAGUGGCUUACCAAGGCUUUGACGGGUAGCCGGCCUGAGAGGGUGACCGGCCACAUUGGGACUGAGAUACGGCCCAGACUCCUACGGGAGGCAGCAGUGGGGAAUAUUGCACAAUGGGCGGAAGCCUGAUGCAGCAACGCCGCGUUCGGGAUGCCGGCCUUCGGGUUGUAAACCGCUUUCGCCUGUGACGAAGCGUGAGUGACGGUAAUGGGUAAAGAAGCACCGGCUAACUACGUG